GAAGCGGUGGCUCAAUGGUAGAGCUUUCGACUCCAGUUAAAUCCUGGUCAUGAGGAAAAUUGCAAUCGAAGGGUUGCAGGUUCAAUUCCUGUCCGUUUCA
rnacentral:tRNA from 1 species